rnacentral:snRNA from 1 species
CCGUAGACCUUUUUAUGAAACGGGCCUUGUUCUGAAGACCCUCUUCAACAAUUUUUGGCAGGCUUAACUUUGUUAGGCCUU